UGCUGAUUUGCUGACGAGUGGCGGACGGGUGAGUAAUGCCUGGGAAACUGCCUGAUGGAGGGGGAUAACUACUGGAAACGGUAGCUAAUACCGCAUAACGUCGCAAGACCAAAGAGGGGGACCUUCGGGCCUCUUGCCAUCGGAUGUGCCCAGAUGGGAUUAGCUAGUAGGUGGGGUAAAGGCUCACCUAGGCGACGAUCCCUAGCUGGUCUGAGAGGAUGACCAGCCACACUGGAACUGAGACACGGUCCAGACUCCUACGGGAGGCAGCAGUGGGGAAUAUUGCACAAUGGGCGCAAGCCUGAUGCAGCCAUGCCGCGUGUAUGAAGAAGGCCUUCGGGUUGUAAAGUACUUUCAGCGGGGAGGAAGGGAGUAAAGUUAAUACCUUUGCUCAUUGACGUUACCCGCAGAAGAAGCACCGGCUAACUCCGUGCCAGCAGCCGCGGUAAUACAGAGGGUGCAAGCGUUAAUCGGAAUUACUGGGCGUAAAGCGCACGCAGGCGGUUUGUUAAGUCAGAUGUGAAAUCCCCGGGCUCAACCUGGGAACUGCAUCUGAUACUGGCAAGCUUGAGUCUCGUAGAGGGGGUAGAAUUCCAGGUGUAGCGGUGAAAUGCGUAGAGAUCUGGAGGAAUACCGGUGGCGAAGGCGGCCCCC
rnacentral:rRNA from 1 species